ACACCUUCUGCCAGGAGCAUGUUGUCCAGACGCAUGAGCUGCGGGUCCACCGGCUCCUCCUCUUGGGAGCUCCGGAUGCUGAGGCCUAGCGGAUGGGCAAGCGGGGCGUGAGGCCCCCGGGUGCCCCUCUCCCAGUGUUCCAGCCUUCCUGAAGGAAGGCCCAGGCCUCCAGGCUUUGCUUCCUUCCCCCACUCCCUUCCGAGCAGCCUCCCUGGGUCUCUCCCUUUCCUCAUGGCUUCAAACUCUGAAGGCCCGGAGCAGGCGGAGUCCAGUUCCCAGAGAAACUUCCCUAGAGAAGACCUGUCCGUUUUACUUGCACAUUUACUCCUGCUUCCUGUCGGGGACCCCAGUGUGUGCUGACCUGGCAGACUUCCCGAGCAUCGGCAGCCACUGCAGUGUGAAGUGCGGUGCGCCCUGCCUGGUCAGGCUGGUUGGGGUUGGCUCCAGCCUCAAGGAGGCGGCGGGCUGCAGUUGGCCGAGAGAAUCGGGCAGCCAGGUGCAGGGGUGUCUCUCCAGUGCCCACGGUGUGAGCCUGGGGGCGGGCCCCUCCAUCCAGCAGUGGUUCACAGGGCUCAGGAUUUCCCAGCCACGGUCCCUGGACAAUGGUGGACUCCACUCGCUCACAGAGGACUGCGGACAUCAGGGGUGUCACCCCAUCUGUGGGUGAGGAUGAGUACAAGGCCAAUCAGAAAGAACACAAGAAUAACGACCUCGGGGAGAGUUACAGCCAGAAGAAGACAAGCUCUGCCUCUUUGGGGGGCAGAGGGUGGUGGUGGGGGCCGGUGUUGAGACAGGGUCUCACUAUGUAGCCCUGGCUGCCCUGGAACUCAAUAAACCAGGCUGAUCUUGAA